rnacentral:sRNA from 1 species
GCCAGGUGCAGUGGCGCACACCUGUAAUCCCAGCAGCUCGGGAGGCUGAGGCAGUAGGAUCAGGAAUUCAAAGACAGCCUCAG